GCCAACAUAAAUUAAAUAUUUUAGAAUUUAAGUUUAUCUUAAUUCAUCUUACCUCACUAAAACUUAGACUUCAAUCUAAAAAUUAACAAAACGCAUUAUAGAAAUUAUAAUAAAGAUCUUUUUUUAUCACAGCAUUGCUACAGGCAACUAAAAAAGCAAUGUGUAACUUGAUGCGUGUUAAAACAUUGUUAAAUGUGCCAUUUAAUAGGUCUGUGGCUACUGACUUUAGGCUAUAUUUGGGGUGUGGAUUGGUACAUUUCUUAACAAUUCACUAAGUCACUAAAUUGUCAAAGCUGCAUUGUUUGCUAAAGGCAUUAAAUCAUCAGGUGAUCUUCCUAGUAUUGUUAUGUAAAUAGACCACCAAUUAAUCAGAAGAUCAGUUAAGUAAGAAAUAUUUGCAUUCUGUAUAUCUAUAUAUGAGAAAAAAAUAAGAUAUUGGGCCUACAUUAACCAGGGGGCUCUAUGUUUCACUAAACCAGGAAUUGUGUGUAAUUGCUGAGAGAAUUGCACAUUUUAGCCCAAAAACUGUGUUGAAACAGAUUAAAAAAUAAAUGAAUUGGAGAAUUUUGUAAUGACUAUUUUGGGCUAAAUUUUCUAAUUUGUAAUUCACAUAUAUAUACACACUUUACAAUUCUUAGUUUAGUAAUUAGCAAACAUUAAGAUUGGGAAUCUCACUUAAACUCAUUUCAAACCAUUCGCAAAUUAGUUUAUCCACUAAACCAGGAGUGCCCAAAAGGUAGACUGACAGAUGUUGAAGAACUACAAUGCCCAUGAUGCUUUGCGUGCCUGUAGUAUGCUUUUAAAUGACAAAGCAUCAUGGAAGGUGUAGUUUCAAAACAUCUGGGGAGCUACCUUUUGGGCAUCCCUGUGCUAAACCAAUUAAUUGAGGGUUUGGCAUUGUAUUGGCAUAUUUUAGACUAAACUAAUAGGGUUGCAAUAAAAGUCCUGCUUUAUCACGACUUGCUUUUUAAUUACCAAACAUUUUACAUAAAUGCAGUACCUUCCUUGUACCUUGUCCUGUUGAGGUAUAAAACAGUAAGCAACUGCCUUUAGGCAGUUUGUAUCAAAGUAAAACUGGGAAAUUCUGUACCAAAAUGCUAAACGUUGAGCAUUGCAUUCGACAGAAAAAUUCCAUUGGUUUUCAAAAAAAAUUCCUCCUGUUUUACCUCACCGAAUUGUGUAAUGUGUGGUGUUGUAUGCCAAUAUUAAUGUAUCAGAAUGUCAGAAAAGAUGUAAAUAUACAAAGGCUUAAGAAAAGUUUGAACGUUUUAAUACCACCAAAUAUGCAUUUUUUUUCAAUAUUUUGUUUUUUUAAUAUGAGUUUUUGUACACAGGAUAAAUUGUAGGCUCAUAUUAGGCACUAUACUGGGGCAAAUUGCAAAAUGUGGGGAGGAAUUCUGUUGGUUUCCAUGGUUGCAUGUGUUUUGCCUUGAUAAAUAAAUCUUAUUUUAGUGCAGUCUUCACAAAAUAUAGGAUGCAGAAACAUUUCUCUCUCAAGUAGACUGUGUUAAUUUAAUGACAGAUAAGCUUGGCACUCAAAAUGUUCCUUAAUCGCAAUCCCCAUGAUGCUGAGCUAGCCUUAAGGCUGGUGUUGCAUGAUAGGAAUUGUAGUUCAGAGGCACAGCUGAAGAUGCGCUAUUAUUAGCGGUUACUGCGUAUACCAGUUGAGACUGGUACUGGUAAGACUUCGAUAAAACCUAGCCUAUAUUCUAAUCCUAAUUGUUGAUAUAUAAAGAAAUGAGUAGAGUGGCUUUGUACGUGUUACCAGAUUUUUUUUAAUGAUUACCUCCUUGUGCCUGGACACAUAAUGAUCUCAUUCAACACCUGUCACAGAUCAAGGAAAAUAAAAUGAGCAAAGGCCUCACGAUGGCCCUAGUAUGUUUGAAUCAACCUUAAUUUUACCUGUACAUUUCUUUAAUAUGUUAAUUAUCAAAUACGUUCAUUAUCAAUGUAUAAUCUCCUUUUACUGAAAAUGGUAAUGUAAAAAUAUAUUUAAUUUAAAAUAUGACAAAACCUGGAGUGAAGCUAUUACACUAUUUUUUAAAAAACAUCGUAUUGUAUGUUUUUAUUCUUUUAUUUAUUCAGCUAAUGUUCUGUGUCUACGUAUGUCAUUGUCUAUUACUAGACCAUGAGGACAAAGUCUGCUUUUACAAUGAUUUCUAUGUAUGUAAUCCUCCAACCCAUAUAACUGACACAUAAUGCAAGCAUAUAUAUUAAUGCACUUGUAUUGUCUUUGAUAUGUGUGCAUUUAGGGAUGUAUUUUGUUUAUUUGUUAUUUAAUCACUCCCAGCACCUUCAAAUGUUCAUCAAUAUUCUAAUAUUAUCUGUAGACGGAGAUACAACGCUAUGUCUGAUGCAGAUGGCUUAUUUAAAUACAUUUUUCUUAAAGAUACAGUCAUCAUAAAGACACUAUAAGAUUAUAACCAACAACUGUUAAAUCAUUUUUAAAGGGGUUAGUGACUUAUUCAAACAAACAAAAUAUACAGAAUAAUGAACUCAUCUCACUAUCUAAAAACAAAAGCUUAGUUUACAUUAAAUGCCUACUCUUCAAGAAAAUGUAUAUAUAUAUAUACUACAAGUUGUCUUCUCCAAAUCUCCAACACAAUUGCAUACAUCUAUUUGUAUUCUAGACACCUGAAUUCAUAGUUUUUUUUAAUGAAUCAAUAACUACAUAUAUUUAAACAAAACCUACAUAAAGACACCUAGACUCAACUUCAAAUCAGAUAGUGAAACUACAGUCAAAGGUAAUCUUUAACAAAGGUUCGUUUAUAAAUGAACUAUUCUGCUUUAUUAUUAACCCUAUUUCUUCAAAGCUUCCUGUCUCCCAUUCGACUUGAGGACAUUUAAAAUAAUGUUUAUACAAAUACUAUGUUUGUACCACGAUUCAAAAUAUAUUAAAAAUUUUCUAAAACUGUAAACGAGUGCAUUUCUCAUUACAGUUUUCAUGUACACUCAAUUAUCUGUUGAGAUCAAGUAUGAUCCGAGAGACGGUAUUCUCACGGUCAGACAAUAAGGGCCUAUUUCUCAGGUGCUAAAUAUGGAAGAUUGCUUUUUGUUAAUAUGCCUGAAGGUUCUGUAUUUCAUUUCUGCGUCACUGCACAAAGUAGGUGUAUAAAGAAAACAGGACCAGAGGCACAUAUCCAAAUUACUAAAACAAUCUGAGUAUAUUAACUGGUUCCUCUACUAAAAUUAACUCCACAGCAGCUCCACAAACCUCGAAACCUGAUGCACCAUCCAAAUACAUGCUACAAUGCCUCAUUGUGUCGAGGGAAUCAAACCGUUGAAAAAUACAAAGUAGCAACACCAAUAGCAAGUAAUGAAUACAAAGAAAUCUCAAAACUGAGUUUUAGAUUAUUAUCUGUAACUCUGUUACUCUUUGUAAAUGCAACAGAGCUAGGGUGGGGGUAGGUAAAUGGCUUCCAAACCAGUACGGAGGCAAAGAACGACAGGGGGAGAACAGAAAAGACAGAACGAGCGAGAGAGAGCAUGGUGGAUAAGUAGAAAAACAACUUCCUGUAUUCAAGUUAUAAAAAUUCUGUAAUAUAACCUAACAAGGAAGAAGCUACAUUGUUAAUGCUCACUGUUCCAGCUGUUCAAAGCAGUGCUGUGCCUCACUCAGGUGGUCGCUCCUCAUGUAGCCUAAACCCAGCCUCACAGUCUCCCAGGUUGCUGUUCUCAGCAAGUUAAUCAUCAUCGCUAUUACCAUAGUUAGGCCUUGUGGACUGCAAGGAAGAAUGGAUGAAGGGCUCAGCAAAACAAGGAACUUAAAAUUUAGCUCCACCUACGAAGCCAGUAAUUAUCUUCUUUACCUGCAAUACCUUUUUUUUUUUUUUAUCCCCGCCCGUUACUCUUCUCCCGCCCAGCUUCCCCCCUCUUCUUCCUAUGCUAUUAUCCAUGCAAUUUUCUAACUGCAAUGUUCUGGCCCUUUGCACCAUAUCAGGUAUCAAAUAAAGGCCUCUGAAAGCUUCUAUGGCUUGUUGCAAAGGUAACUCCUGGCCUGGAUAGGAAUGUGACUUCAGUGUGAAAAACUAACCUGUUGGUUAACCCCUAGUGCUAAACCUUAAUCAAUACUAAGAGAAAAUGUACAGAACAAAACAUAACAAAAGUAAACCUUUCUUUAUCUGCUCUCCUGAUAGAUAAGAUAGGUAGAGGAGUCUGGGGGCAACAGACAAGCUAUUUGUUAAAUAACCUAAAUGUAUACAUGUUGCUGCAGGAUGACAGUUAAUUAAAUGAGAAAUAUGCACUAUAGAAUAUUCUAAAA
rnacentral:lncRNA from 1 species